CGAACAACUAACAAACAGUAAGUCUGUGAUAUAAAGAACCAA
rnacentral:misc_RNA from 1 species